UCUCUGAUAGCUCAGUUGGUAAAGAAUCUGCCUGCAAUGCAGGAGACCCUGGUUCGAUUUCUGGGUUGGGAA
rnacentral:tRNA from 1 species